rnacentral:snRNA from 1 species
GGAGCCUUUGAGGGUGAUCUGGCUGUGACAUCUGUCACCCCAUUGAUCACCAGGGUUGAGUCAGCUGCUCUGGCUGGCUAGGCAAGUGACCCCUUCCUCCAUCACCACUCCAUGUGCGUCCCUCCCAAAGCUGCAUGCGCAGUGGAAGAGGACAAUGUCCCAGGUAUAGAAGGAGCAUACCGAGGGA